UUACAUGGAUAUGAAACGACCGUAGUUUACGGUUAGUAUGCGGACAUUUUCUGGGACACUCAUUGCCACGCUGUCAAUGAGUUAGACAGAGUUGAAAAAAGAGCUAUAGCUGUAUGAAAAGAGCUGCAAAUUCAACUAAAACACGACUGACUCUGCAACUAACUAUCAGAACCAGACUCUCGCCUCACAAGAAAAAAGAAGUUGGCGAGAUUAAGAAAGAAGGAAAACCAUUCAUUGACCGGCAAAAGAACGACAUGAGAAAGUGAUGUCCACUGUCCAUGUCGUUUGAGUUCAAAGCCUCUACUCCAUGUCAACAAUUACGACAGCCAAGCAUACUCGUCAUUCAUUCAUGUAUAAUAAUUGUAGUAGAAUCUACUGAUAUUAAAUUCUGAGAUCUAUAUACAUGUAAAAUACAUCCUUGUCAUGACUCAAGGCUAUUUUAGAGCCUCCAUCAUCAUUAUUCUCAUUCAUAAAUUCGUCAAAACUCUCUCAAAUAACGCUC